ACCACACUUCACUAUUCUAUCUUCCAGAUCUCUUCCACUGGCAACACUACCCUUCCAGAGAAUAGCAUGGAGGCGAGCAUGGAAAGGGGAAUUUCAGCCUCUGUGGGAGAUCUGAGAACUUCUGUGCUCUCGAAACUUCUAAUUGAGCAUAAAGAAGGCUGAUUUAUUGCAUGAAUAUCCUCUCAACAUCAGAAGGGGAUUCUGAAGUUAUAACAAAUUUUGCUUGUG
rnacentral:lncRNA from 1 species